rnacentral:misc_RNA from 1 species
UUCAAAAUUAAUUCACCAAUACUUCAACCCCAACUAUCUUCUAUGGAACUAAGAGAGGAACUUCAUUAUGUACAGUCUUCAGAUCGCCUUCUGCUACAAUUUAUCAGCAAUUUUGCCGAGAGCAUCAGCAAGCUUAUUAAGAACAGCAACCAAGCUGUCUGCGUGGUCCUUCCGCUGCUCCCGGUCCAGCUGGAAAUUGGUGUUCUGCGCUUUAAGUUGAGCAGUAAGCAUCUUACCAUUCUUUUCCAAGACAUCAAUCAACUGAUUCUGGACAUUGAUUGUUUCUUCAUCCCCGUCUGUUGUGAGUCGUUUCCGUUUCCGAUUCUCGUGUGAAGCAGAACCCACCUCAGGAUUGGAAGCAGGAUGUUUCUCAUUUGUUGUACCUUGAGCUUGAUCAGCUUGUAGAGCUGGUUGGUACUGCUUCUCUGAAAUUGGUACAGGAGCAGCCACUCCCGCCGCUGCCGCCUUUAUUGGUGGAACCUCCUU